UUGAAACACUGGUUCCCAUUUGAUCAUCGAAGUUAAGCAACAUUGAACCAGGUCAGUACCUAGAUGGGUCAUCACUUGGGAAUACCAGGUGCUGUAA